GAUGAACGCUGGCGACGUGCUUAAUACAUGCAAGUCGAACGGAGACAGUAGCAAUAUUGUCUUAGUGGCGAACGGGUGAGUAACGCGUUGGUGACCUGCCCCGAAGAGGGGGAUAACAGUCCGAAAGGAUUGCUAAUACCCCAUGUGGUCGUUUGGAUUAGAUGCCUUAUGACUAAACGGAUUUAUUCGCUUCGGGAGGGGCCUGCGUCCCAUCAGCUAGUUGGUAAGGUAAUGGCUUACCAAGGCGAUGACGGGUAGGGGACCUGAGAGGGUGGCCCCCCACAAUGGAACUGAAACACGGUCCAUACACCUACGGGUGGCAGCAGUAGGGAAUAUUGGUAAUGUGCGAAAGCGCGAACCAGCAACGCCGCGUGCGCGAUGAAGGCCUUCGGGUUGUAAAGCGCUUUUUAUGGGGAUGAGGAAGGACAGUACUCAUAGAAUAAGCCUCGGCUAACUACGUGCCAGCAGCCGCGGUAAAACGUAGGAGGCGAGCGUUAUCCGGAUUUACUGGGCGUAAAGCGUGUGUAGGCGGUUUGAUAAGUUGGAUGUGAAAGCUCCUGGCUUAACUGGGAGAGGUCGUUCAAAACUAUCAGACUUGAGAGUGGUAGAGGGAGGUGGAAUUCCGGGUGUAGUGGUGAAAUGCGUAGAUAUCCGGAGGAACACCAGUGGCGAAAGCGGCCUCCUGGCCCAUUUCUGACGCUCAGACACGAAAGCUAAGGUAG
rnacentral:rRNA from 1 species